rnacentral:rRNA from 1 species
UACAGAGGUGUCAAACGUUGUCCGGAAUUACUGGGCGUAAAGGGCGCGUAGGCGGUCCUAUAAGUCAGAUGUGAAAGCUCCGGGCUCAACCCGGGAAUUGCAUCUGAUACUGUAGGACUUGAGUUCGGUAGAGGAGGGCGGAAUUCCAGGUGUAGCGGUGAAAUUCGUAGAUAUUGGGAGGAACACCGGUGGCGAAAGCGGCCUCCUGGACCGAUACUGACGCUGAGACGCGAAAGCGUGGGGAGCAAACAGGAUUAGAAACCCGUGUAGU